rnacentral:snRNA from 1 species
GUAUUCAGCAGCUCAUAGAAAUCAGGACGAUACAGAGGAGGUCAGCAUGGCCCCUGAAUGAGAACAACACACAACUUUGUGAAAUCUCCAUAUUAUGU